GGUAAAUAACUUAGAGAAUUUAUUUGCCAAGUAGGAAAUAAAAAGCAUGAUUUUAACAUUUAUUUAGAAUAUGAACAAUACUAGAAAAAGUUAAACUAUAGAAAAGAAGGUAGAGAGUACUUAAGUUGGCCAAUUAAUACAACAAGCAAAACCCAAGUUUCCUUCAUGCAGAUAAGACUUAAGGAAAAGAAAAAGGGAAUGUUUAAAGAACAGAUCACAACAAAUAUUUUAAAUUUUUACAUAAACUGUACAUAAAUGAAAAAAUAAAUUAGAUGAUUUACAAGAAAUGUUUUAUAGGUUACAAUAGGCUAUAACUUAGUUUAUUAUGAAUAAAAUUUGUAGCACAUCAUACAUUUUUACAUCACAGGUUCAGUGUUAGAAUAAUUUCAACAUAACAGAGGUUAGACUUGGC
rnacentral:lncRNA from 1 species